rnacentral:rRNA from 1 species
GACGGGGGCCCGCACAAGCAGCGGAGCGUGUGGUUUAAUUCGAUGAUACACGAAGAACCUUACCCAGGCUUGACAUGUUGGUAGUAGGGAUCCGAAAGGUGACCGACCCUUCGGGGAGCCUUCACAGGUGCUGCAUGGCUGUCGUCAGCUCGUGUCGUGAGAUGUUCGGUUAAGUCCGCUAACGAGCGCAACCCUCGCUGUAUGUUACAUGUGUCAUACAGGACCGCCGGUAUCAAGCCGGAGGAAGGUGGGAUGACGUCAAGUCCGCAUGGCCUUUAUGUCCGGGGCUACACACACGCUACAAUGGUCGGUACAAUGGGUUGCUAAGCCGCGAGGUGGAGCCAAUCCCCCAAAGCCGGCCUCAGUUCAGAUUGCAGGCUGCAACUCGCCUGCAUGAAGCUGGAGUUGCUAGUAAACGCGCGUCAGCUAUAGUGCGUUGAAUACGUUCUCGGGCCUU